UGAAAACAAAUUGCAAUCAGU
rnacentral:piRNA from 1 species